rnacentral:rRNA from 1 species
GAUGAACGCUAGCUACAGGCUUGACACAUGCAAGUCGAGGGGAAACGACAUCGAAAGCUUGCUUUUGAUGGGCGUCGACCGGCGCACGGGUGAGUAACGCGUAUCCAACCUGCCCACCACUUGGGGAUAACCUUGCGAAAGUAAGACUAAUACCCAAUGAUAUCUCUAGAAGACAUCUGAAAGAGAUUAAAGAUUUAUCGGUGAUGGAUGGGGAUGCGUCUGAUUAGCUUGUUGGCGGGGUAACGGCCCACCAAGGCUACGAUCAGUAGGGGUUAGGAGAAGAAGGUCCCCCACAUUGGAACUGGGACACGGUCCAAACUCCUACGGGAGGCAGCAGUGAGGAAUAUUGGUCAAUGGGCGAGAGCCUGAACCAGCCAAGUAGCGUGCAGGAUGACGGCCCUAUGGGUUGUAAACUGCUUUUAUAAGGGAAUAAAGUGAGCCUCGUGAGGCUUUUUGCAUGUACCUUAUGAAUAAGGACCGGCUAAUUCCGUGCCAGCCGCCGCAGUAA